rnacentral:rRNA from 1 species
UGAGUAACACGUAUCCAACCUGCCGUCUACUCUUGGCCAGCCUUCUGAAAGGAAGAUUAAUCCAGGAUGGCAUCAUGAGUUCACAUGUCCGCAUGAUUAAAGGUAUUUUCCGGUAGACGAUGGGGAUGCGUUCCAUUAGAUAGUAGGCGGGGUAGCGGCCCACCUAGUCAACGAUGGAUAGGGGUUCUGAGAGGAAGGUCCCCCACAUUGGAACUGAGACACGGUCCAA